rnacentral:rRNA from 1 species
AACGUAGGAGGCGAGCGUUAUCCGGAGUUACUGGGCGUAAGCGCGUGUAGGUGGUUGGAUACGUCUGCUGUGAAAUGUCCCGGCUUAACCGGGAGGGUGCGGCAGAUACGGUCUGACUUGAGGGUGACAGAGGAGCGUAGAAUUCCGGGUGUAGUGGUGAAAUGCGUAGAGAUCCGGAGGAAUACCAGUGGCGCAAGCGGCGCUCUGGGUCACCAUCUGACACUGAGACGCGAAGGCAUGGGGGAGCGAACGGGG